AAGUAACAUAUUCAAAAGUUUUGGAGAUUAGGAUCUGUAGAUCUUUGAGGAUGGGAGGCAUUAUUCAGCCUACUGCAGAUGUAAUUUGAUAAAUUUUUGCUUGGAAUUUUUGCAUCUACAUAAGGAUAUUGGUCUGAAGUUUUCUUUUGUUUAAUGUCUUUAUCUUUGGUAUCGGGGUAAUGCUGACCUCAUAGAAUGGGUUGGGAAGUGUUUCCUGUUUUUGGAAGAGUCUGUGUACAAUUGGUAUCAUUUCUUAAAUUUUAGAGUUUACCAGUAAGUUUUAUUUGUGGGAAGGUUUAAGACUACAAUUUCAAUUUUUAAAAUAUAUAUAGGGCUAUUCAGGUUAUAUUUCUUCUUGUGUGAGG
rnacentral:lncRNA from 1 species